rnacentral:rRNA from 1 species
UGAAGCCGGAAUUGCUAGUAAUGGCAGGUCAGCAUACUGCCGUGAAUACGUUCCCGGGCCUUGUACACACCGCCCGUCACACCAUGAGAGUUGGGGAUACCCGAAGCCUGUGAGCUAACUAUUUAUAGGAGCAGCAGUCGAAGGUAGAAUCAAUGAUUGGGGUGAAGUCGUAACAAGGUACC